CGCUGGGGAAUGGGGUGGUCUCAGCCCAAGCGCUGCCUCCUCCCUCCGAGGCUCAGACGCCUUUUUCGCAGAUCCUACGUAGGUGGAACAGGACGCGUUGUGUUGCUGGGGGAGAGAGAGAGAGAGACAAGGGGAGAAGGAGGGGAAAAAAAAGGUUGAUAGGUUUGUGCGCGGGUCCCUCGUGCGGGCCGCGCUCCUCCUGGGUGCUAUUUGACAAUUCCUGCCUCUGCCAUUGGUCAGUGUUGGAUCAGAUGGUUGUAUUUCCUUCUGGCCCUCACUGGCACCUCGCCAUCCCCCCUCAGCUAAAACCCAAUCUCGGAUAUACUACUAAUAGGCGCGGCGCUCGGACUAUAAAACACAACAAAUCAUAAACCCGGCGGAGCAGCAGCGGCCGCGCGCGCCUCCCCUCCCAAUGAGUUCCUAUUUCGUGAACUCCACCUUCCCCGUCACUCUGGCCAGCGGGCAGGAGUCCUUCCUGGGCCAGCUGCCGCUCUACUCGUCCGGCUAUGCGGACCCGCUGAGGCACUACUCCGCGCCCUACGGGCCCGGGCCCGGCCAAGACAAGGGCUUCGCCCCUUCCUCCUACUACCCGCCGGCCGGCGGUGGCUACGGCCGGGCUGCGCCCUGCGAUUACGGCCCGGCGCCGGCCUUCUACCGCGAGAAGGAGUCGGCCUGCGCGCUCUCGGGCGCCGACGAGCCGCCCCCGUUCCACCCGGAGCCGCGGAAGCCGGACUGCGCGCAGGACAAGAGCGUGUUCGGCGACGCGGAGGAGCAGAAGUGCUCCACGCCGGUGUACCCGUGGAUGCAGCGGAUGAAUUCGUGCAACAGUUCCUCCUUCGGGCCCAGCGGCCGGCGAGGCCGCCAGACCUACACGCGCUACCAGACGCUGGAGCUGGAGAAGGAAUUUCACUACAACCGCUACCUGACCCGGCGGAGGCGCAUCGAGAUCGCGCACGCCCUGUGCCUGACCGAGCGCCAGAUCAAGAUCUGGUUCCAGAACCGGCGCAUGAAGUGGAAAAAGGAAAGCAAACUGCUCAGCGCCUCGCAGCUCAGUGCCGAGGAGGAGGAAGAAAAACCGGCCGAGUGAAGGUGCUGGAAAGGGAGGGGGGACGCGGAGGGAGAGGCCUGCGCGGACCCCAGGGCGACGGAGAGCUCCCGCCGCCGCAGGGGGCUCAGGUCGCGCCGCCCGAGCCCACCCCGCACCCCAGCGCCGCCUCCCUCCCCGAGCAACCCGCCUGGGCCUGGUCAGGCUCCUGGGUGAGAACUGAGGAUCGGACUCACUUGAUGUUUGCUGGAAGCAGAGCGAAAACGCUCUUGUACGUGUCGCGUCUCAUUUCGUCCAUGUCCCCCGUGCACGGUUCAAUGGUAGAUUCGCUGCCCCUCAGCAGGGGCCCCGAAGACUCCCUGACCCCAGACUUGUCGUCUCACCCACCCCCGCCCCAAAGCCACUGGAAGGAAGGAGCACAUACUACCUAGAAGUAAGAAGAGGCGCCUCAGAAGAAAACAAAGUUCUAUUUUAUUAAUUUUCUAUGUGUUGUGUUUGUAGUCUUGUCUUAGCUCUGGACGUGAAAUACUUCGGUAAUAAUAUUAAUAUUAUUAAUAAUGAUGAUGAUGAUAAUAAUAAUAAAGACCUGAAAACUCGC